rnacentral:rRNA from 1 species
GAUGAACGCUGGCGGCGUGCCUAAUACAUGCAAGUCGAGCGAACAGACGAGGAGCUUGCUCCUCUGACGUUAGCGGCGGACGGGUGAGUAACACGUGGAUAACCUACCUAUAAGACUGGGAUAACUUCGGGAAACCGGAGCUAAUACCGGAUAAUAUAUUGAACCGCAUGGUUCAAUAGUGAAAGACGGUUUUGCUGUCACUUAUAGAUGGAUCCGCGCCGCAUUAGCUAGUUGGUAAGGUAACGGCUUACCAAGGCAACGAUGCGUAGCCGACCUGAGAGGGUGAUCGGCCACACUGGAACUGAGACACGGUCCAGACUCCUACGGGAGGCAGCAGUAGGGAAUCUGCCGCAAUGAGCGAAAGCCUGACGGAGCAACGCCGCGUGAGUGAUGAAGGUCUUCGGAUCGUAAAACUCUGUUAUUAGGGAAGAACAAAUGUGUAAGUAACUAUGCACGUCUUGACGGUACCUAAUCAGAAAGCCACGGCUAACUACGUG